ensembl:lncRNA
GUCACCAUAAUUAAUGAGAAUGGUGAAAAAAAUAUGAAAAUUUAAUUGCAAAUUUCAAUUCUAAAAAAACUAUUGUAGCUUCUGAAAUGCUUUUGAGAGUACUUUUUAAGUUUAAAUUCACUUAUUGGCACAAUGUUUUGUCUACAAAACUACUUCCCAAACAUCUAGCCAUACAUUUGGCUCAAAAAGGUUAAGGUCACAAGAAACAUUUUUGACUCAAAUGAAAUGCAUCCAAACUUUUGACUGUUAGUCUAGUGUUCAUAAUAUGGUGCAAUAAAGAACGUCCAAAAAUUAAGCAAAUAAACAACAGCAAUAAAUUACAUCCUAUAUAAUAGCCUACUGCUUUAACAUUGUUUAAGUUAUUUUAGCAGCAGUGCACUAGUUGUUUGCCUAUUUGUGUGUGUGUGUGCAGAGAAUAUAGGGAAUCUGUGUAAAAGUGGACCCUUGCAUGCUUGUGAGGUUAAAAGUGAAAGUAGCAAAAACUUACACAGUCAUCACCGUGAGCUUUCUGGCACAACCUUCAGACUUCACAAGGAACUGCAGGGUUCUCAGUGUGAGAGGGAAUAUCCUGUCAAAGAGCUGAAGCUCUAUCAUGGUUGCCGGAGCAAACUGCAUCCACCCACACUAAAUAGAAAACCACAGACGCUUUUUCUGUUCCUCGACCACGCCUCAGCCUGCUUUCUAAGCCUUGCAGAUUGACCACCCACCUCGCUGACAAUGCUUACACCUCCACGGUCAAAGUGGCAUCUGCACUGCACACAAUGGCAGUGCUGCAGGUCUUUCAAGUUAAGUCCCUGCAGUCCCUGGACAGCGGCGACAUGGAUGCAGACAUCAUGAAAGACCUGCAUGUUGCGACGGACUUAACGCUGAUGGCGACAAAGCGCUCUGCUCAAGCCAUCGGUCAUUCUAUGGGCUUAUGACAGUCCUUCUCAGGCACCUAUGGAUGACCCUAACUGACUUGAAGGACUAAGACCGUAAGGCGCUGCUCAACACUCCAAUCACCCCCUUCGGCCUCUUUGGUGACGCCAUGGAAUCAGUUAUCAUGAGUUUUUCUGAGGCGCAAAAGCGUGCAAAGGCAAUGAGUCACCUGAUGCCCCGGCACGCAUUCCAUUCACCAUCUAGAUCACGCUCCUCUUCUGGACCCCACUUCUCUCAGAACGGGUAAGCAGGCCACUGCAUCCUCCACGGCUCUGUCCUCGACAUAAGCCGGUUGCUGCUGCAAACAGUAGACGGGACCCGGGAAAAGGCGCCAUG